CGCGAAGAACCUUACCAACUCUUGACAUCCCAUUGACCGCUUGAGAGAUCAAGUUUUCCCUUCGGGGACAAUGGUGACAGGUGGUGCAUGGUUGUCGUCAGCUCGUGUCGUGAGAUGUUGGGUUAAGUCCCGCAACGAGCGCAACCCCUAUCCUUAGUUGCCAGCAUUUGGUUGGGCACUCUAGGGAGACUGCCGGUGACAAACCGGAGGGAGGUGGGGAUGACGUCAAAUCAUCAUGCCCCUUAUGAGUUGGGCUACACACGUGCUACAAUGGACGGUACAAAGGGCAGCGAGACCGCGAGGUGGAGCCAAUCCCAUAAAGCCGUUCCCAGUUCGGAUUGCAGGCUGCAACUCGCCUGCAUGAAGUCGGAAUCGCUAGUAAUCGCAGGUCAGCAUACUGCGGUGAGUACGUUCCCGGGUCUUGUACACACCGCCCGUCACACCACGAGAGUUUGCAACACCCGAAGCCGGUGAGUAACCNNCAAGGAGCCAGCCGUCGAAGUGGUAGUNUUGG
rnacentral:rRNA from 1 species